rnacentral:rRNA from 1 species
UAGGGAAUCUUCGGCAAUGGGGGCAACCCUGACCGAGCAACGCCGCGUGAGUGAAGAAGGUUUUCGGAUCGUAAAGCUCUGUUGUAAGAGAAGAACGUGUGUGAGAGUGGAAAGUUCACACAGUGACGGUAACUUACCAGAAAGGGACGGCUAACUACGUGCCAGCAGCCGCGGUAAUACGUAGGUCCCGAGCGUUGUCCGGAUUUAUUGGGCGUAAAGCGAGCGCAGGCGGUUUAAUAAGUCUGAAGUUAAAGGCAGUGGCUUAACCAUUGUUCGCUUUGGAAACUGUUAAACUUGAGUGCAGAAGGGGAGAGUGGAAUUCCAUGUGUAGCGGUGAAAUGCGUAGAUAUAUGGAGGAACGCCGGUGGCGAAAGCGGCUCUCUGGUCUGUAACUGACGCUGAGGCUCGAAAGCGUGGGGAGCAAACAGGAUUAGAUACCCUGGUAGUCCACGCCGUAAACGAUGAGUGCUAGGUGUUAGGCCCUUUCCGGGGCUUAGUGCCGCAGCUAACGCAUUAAGCACUCCGCCUGGGGAGUACGACCGCAAGGUUG